GCUUUUCUUCUCCUUGAGACCAUCUAAGUUUCUUCAAUCGGCAAAAAGAAGGGUUAAGUGUUAUAAGGCUUUCAGAGAUAGGGACUCCAUCGAUGAGAAAGAGUGAUUCAGUGAAUCGGUGGAUCACACACGGAGACAGGGGCAGACCUAACAAUUGAUAUUGUAGAAUCUGUGUUGAAAGAGAAAUAACCCACUGGGGGCAAGAGUAAACUAUAAGGAAUAGGAUCGAAAAGCGUCCUACUAAAGAAGUGAGCAAGCAAGCCGAAGACAGACCAGACCCAUCUUUCCAACUAAGUCCAAGUAAAGGAACCUUUAAUGGAAUUGACGAUGUCUUCCGUCAUCAGCAAGCGGUGGCCGACAAAGCGCUUUUCCCUGCAAUUGGAGAUACAGAGUUUCUCAAUUAUACUAUAGGGAGUUUCACGUCUUAUUCUUAUGAGUAGACUAUGUUCUCAUAUAAGCCAGAAGCAAGCAUUCCAUAAAGGGUUAUAUUCAUUAUUGCAAGUUCAAGUCGUCCUGUCUGUUUUCGUUCCUUUCUCCGCCAGUUAAGAACAAGUCCUGUGUUUGGGAGCUAACUCAUUACAGACUACAACACUGCCUGCUAAGACCGAAGCUGGGUAUGCUCGGGCUGAUACUGGUACCACCGAGACAGGAGCUAGGGCUACUAAGGCUGCUACUGGUGCUACUCGGAAUGGAGCUGACUAAUAUCGGACUGCAGCUAUGUAGUUAGAGAAUGAAGCGGGUAAGUGGUUCUCGGUUUAGACCGAUCAAAAAGAUAGAUAAUUUUACCAAAGACAGGACUUCCCUCUUUCGAAACUUUCUCCUUAAUAAUAAUAUAAUGAAUUUAGUAUAGGCCAAGUAGA
rnacentral:lncRNA from 1 species